UUUUGAAAAAAUAUUUAGGUAAAAUUUCGGUAAUCAAGUAUAUACUGUCUACCGCUUUUAUUUAAGUAUUUAUUUCUCAGAUGGUAGCACUAAAACGUUGUCUCUGAAUUCGAACGUGUGAUAAAACGGCGGAGAAAAAGAAAUGAUUAAAGCAACAUCCAAUUUUAGUACCGCCAUUUAAAAAACAAAUGAUUAACUAAAAGCGGUAGAUUGCGUACUACAUGAUAAACGACAUAUCAUGAUCUUGUCCUUGGAAAAUCUGUAUUAUAUAAGAUGAAAGUAUCAUAUGCGCGCAUUUAAAGGACGCGAUUUUUAUCGUAAGCAUUCAACGCGAGUUUUUAGUUACCUAUACUACACGGAUGAUUCAGUUCCUAUAAGUUAGAUAACUUAACCCCACGCAAAGUCCAUGAUAAUUCUUAAAGAAUAAAAAUACGUAAAAAAAAAUGAAAUUAUCGGUAAUUAAAGGUUUUUAUAACAAAUUCAAAAUUCGUGUCGUUGCGUGCACAUGGGUUCGUUAUGGAUUCAAUGCGCACAGAACCGAUAAUAGCUUGAUAAAAUCUAUUUUAUCCAAAGAACACUGUUCUGAAACUUUCCAUAAAAAUACUCGUUCAGCUUAUUUCAGUAUCACAGAGCAUAAUCAGUAAUUACACCUCAAACUACUAAGAACAUCAAACACAAUACAAUGCAAAGCGCAUCUAAAAAGCGAAACUCUUACGGAUAUCUCAAUACUCCAAAUUCAGUCCUGAACUAACAACUGAUGCUCUAUCCGGUCUUACAUAGUUUUGUACCUUCCACUUUUCGAAAUUACUGCAAGGAAUAUGAGAGCCGGACAUGGUUACAGUUACAUACAGGGAUCAAUUACAUAUUCCGUGACAUACAUAGGCUAGGGGAAAUAUCAGUAACAUACAGGUGCAUAGAGAGAAAUUCAGUGACAUACAGGGGUUAGACCAAAAUGUCGCCAAGUUUGGAGUGUUUUGGCGAUUUCUCGCCAAAUUUGGAGACAAAAAUUAGUCGCUAGAGCCAUCGCCAGUUUGGUAUCUAAAUCUUAUAUCCAAUAUGUAUAUCUAAAUCUUAACAGGUUAGAAAUUAGUAACAUAAUGACCAAGAAAAUCACUUCUGUCAGUGAUGUUGGAAUUAGUUGUUAACUUUUGCAGGAAAUAUGUAGUAGGUAAACUACGUUAAUUUACUUAUUGCCGCAAAACACUCGAUAGUUAUCUGCCUGAUAUUAAAACAUUUUCGACGUAUCGGUUAUUUUUUUUCCUUUGGGGCUCUAAAUAAGCCUUGUGGUAAUACAUAAGUUAUAACUUUACCGAGGAGUGCAUUUUAUGCUUGAUUGGUAUCAUAAAUAUGACGUCAAUAUGAGCUAACAAUAUUUUUUUGUCUUGCAUGUGGGACCCGUUUGGCAAAAUGGCAUCAUUUAUGUGCAUUUAUUCUUUCUCAAAAAUGGCUACUUUAUUAACAAGAUUCAAAAAGGAUAGUACCACCAGUUAUGUUAAAGAAGUUUUAUGCUCUUUCAUAAUUGUUCUUCUACUCAUCAUCCUGUGGUGGAUUUUAUUAUAAUUGAAGACUUGAUCCUAUUUCCUUUUCUUUUUUUGUACAUGUUUUGUGAAUAAAAUAAGUUAUUUCUUAAAAAAAAAAAAAAAAAAAAAAAAAAAAAAAAAAACUUAAUGUCUUAUUUAAAAAUCUUAUCACUCUUAUUUAAAAAAUUAUACAAAUUAUUUAUUUUGUGAACAUUUUAGACAUGGAGAUAAGAUCAUUUAUUAGAAUUCCGCCUAUCAGUGGCUUAAUGGCUAAAGCCAUGAAAAAUCAAUAGUUCAUGCUAUGUGUAUGAAAAUAAAGGUUAUUUUUCAGCAAAUGA